rnacentral:piRNA from 1 species
AAUGACAGAAGAUGGCUGCU